UUCAGGGAUAGCUCAGCCAGUGGAUCAUGAGACUCUUAAUCUCAGGGUGGUGGGUUUAAGCCCCACAUUGGGCAAAA
rnacentral:tRNA from 1 species